rnacentral:rRNA from 1 species
GCGGCUACUGCUAUCAGGUUUCGACUAAGCCAUGCGAGUCAAGGGGUCGUAAGACACCGGCGUACUGCUCAGUAACACGCGGACAAUCUACCCCCAGGUGGAGGAUAACCUCGGGAAACUGAGGCUAAUACCCCAUAGUUGUCAUGUGCUGGAAUGCUUUGACGAUGAAAGAAUUUCGCCUGAGGAUGAGUCUGCGGCCUAUCAGGUAGUAUGUGGUGUAAAGGACCACAUAGCCUAAGACGGGUACGGGCCUUGAAAGAGGGAGCCCGGAGAUGGACUCUGAGACACUAGUCCAGGCCCUACGGGGCGCAGCAGGCGCGAAAACUGUGCAAUGCGCGCAAGCGCGACACGGGAAGCCUGAGUGCCUUAACUAUGUUAAGGCUUUUCUUGAUCCUAAAAAGCUCAAGGAAUAAGAGCUGGGUAAGACGGGUGCCAGCCGCCGCGGUAACACCCGCGGCUCGAGUGGUAGUCACUUUUAUUGAGCCUAAAGCGUUUGUAGCCGGAUUUGUAAAUCUCUAGGAAAAUACUUCUGCUUAACUGAAGAAAUUUUGGAGAGACUGCAAAUCUAGGGACCGGGUGAGGUUGAAUGUACUUCUGGGGUAGGGGUAAAAUCCUGUAAUCCCGGAAGGACGACCAGUGGCGAAAGCGUUUAACUAGAACGAAUCUGACGGUAAGGAACGAAGGCUAGGGUAGCAAACCGGAUUAGAUACCCGGGUAGUCCUAGCUGUAAACAUUGCCCAUUUGAUGUUGCUUUUCCGUUGAGGGAAGGCAGUGUCGGAGCGAAGGUGUUAAAUGGGCCGCUUGGGAAGUAUGGUCGCAAGACUGAAACUUAA